GACGAACGCUGGCGGCGUGCUUAACACAUGCAAGUCGAACGGAAAGGCCCUGCUUUUGUGGGGUGCUCGAGUGGCGAACGGGUGAGUAACACGUGAGUAACCUGCCCUUGACUUUGGGAUAACUUCAGGAAACUGGGGCUAAUACCGGAUAGGAGCUCCUGCUGCAUGGUGGGGGUUGGAAAGUUUCGGCGGUUGGGGAUGGACUCGCGGCUUAUCAGCUUGUUGGUGGGGUAGUGGCUUACCAAGGCUUUGACGGGUAGCCGGCCUGAGAGGGUGACAGGCCACAUUGGGACUGAGAUACGGCCCAGACACCUACGGGAGGCAGCAGUGGGGAAUAGUGCACAAUGGGCGGAAGCCUGAUGCAGCAACGCCGCGUGCGGGAUGACGGCCUUCGGGUUGUAAACCGCUUUCGCCUGUGACGAAGCGUGAGUGACGGUAAUGGGUAAAGAAGCACCGGCUAACUACGUG
rnacentral:rRNA from 1 species